UACGUAGGGUGCGAGCGUUGCCCGGAUUUAUUGGGCGUAAAGGGCGCGCAGGCGGCUACGCACGUCCGUUGUGAAAUCGCUCGGCUCAACUGGGCGGGGUCAGCGGAUACGGCGUAGCUGGAGCAAGCUAGGGGGCAAUGGAAUUCCCGGUGUAGUGGUGGAAUGCGUAAAUAUCGGGAGGAACACCAGUGGCGAAGGCGGUUGCCUGGAGCUUUGCUGACGCUGAGGCGCGAAAGCGUGGGGAGCGAUCCGG
rnacentral:rRNA from 1 species